rnacentral:rRNA from 1 species
AUUGAACGCUGGCGGCAGGCCUAACACAUGCAAGUCGAGCGAGCGGCGCACGGGUGAGUAAUGUAUGGGGCUCUGCCCGUUAGCGGGGGAUAACUACUGGAAACGGUGUCUAAUACCGCAUACUCUCGGAUUAACACAUAUGUGAUUAGCUAGUAGGUGGGGUAAAGGCUCACCUAGGCGACGAUCUCUAGCGGGUUGGAGAGGAUGAUCAGCCACACUGGGACUGAGACACGGCCCAGACUCCGACGGGAGGAAGCAGUGGGGAAUAUUGCAAAAUGGGCGCAAGCCGGAUGCAGCCAUGCCGCGUGUAUGAAGAAGGCCUUAGGGUUGUAAAGUACGUUCAGCGGGGAGGCGUUACCCGCAGAAGAAGCACCGGCUAACUCCGUGCCAGCAGCCGCGGUAAUAC